GAACCUGCUAAGGUUUGUAUCUAUGGGGUACUUCAGUCAAAAGUUAUAGAUCAGUGAAGGACCUGUGACUGCUGCUCUAUGUUUGUAUUUGGUACAGGUCAGUCGGCACAGGUCAAUCUAAUCUAUCUAACCCAUAUUUGAGUAACUGUACCAGCUCAAGCACCUUGAUCUGGAUUAGUCAACACCACCCCUUGGUGGCUGAGGAGUCCGUGGAUGCUCAUGUACCGAGUUGAGUUGUUUUACUUUUGAUUUACUAACUCAUUAAACUUUCCAAAGAGGGACAAAAGACGCAUGUACAAGAAAAAAUCAAACAAGGUGGGCUUGCACCAGAUGGAGAACAGCAAAUCAUAUCCCGAACCAUAAUCAUUGUCCGAUAGCUUUACAUAAAUCAAACUCUGCGGUCUCAAACCCCAGUUGUUUGCCUACCAUUGGUACCAAGCCAUGGCAAUGAUGAAAAUGUCAUCCAUGUCCAAUCACCUGUUGAAGGACGCGUUGUUAGAGAGCAGCUGCAUGGUUGUAGUUUGGUUCUGUGGAACUUGAUGGAUCUUCCAUUUGCUGAAACUCCUGCUUCAAGUUCUGCAAUGGAUCAAGAGGUUUUUGAGUUGUUGCUUUGCCCUGCCCUUUCUUUUUGAAUUUCUGAGGUUUUGAGUAAUUCUCGCACAUUGUUCAGGACAGCGGAGGGUACAGCUUCUCCUGUCUUUUUGUCAGUGAGGAGUCUUUCCACAGCUGUGAAUGACACUCACAAUGUCUUUAUCUGGUGGUGGAAAAUGGUUGUUUAAAAUAUCAUCUUUGUUAAAUUUAAUUGUAAAGUACCGAUUGUCUUCGUGGAUGAGAAGGUAAACACCUCUGCAGCAACAGUCAUCAAAAUAACUACACAGCAUGCGCCACAGCGUCCCUUUUCAUCAAUAACACAUCUGGACAAUGCUAUUGCGCUCACUCCAUGACUUCUUGACCCCCUUCAAGCUUGAUGACUGCAUCUUGUGUCACUGGAACAUAAUAGAAAAUAAAGAGUCUGAAACUUGACUGUUCUCACUUACUGCAUCACUAUGGAGAGUUUUCAUUUUAUAGCUAUGUGCAAGGGUCCAGAAAAAAGGAUGGUCUUCUUUGGGCCAAAAGGAGCA
rnacentral:sRNA from 1 species